UCCGCCAUAGCUCAGUUGGUAGUAGCGCAUGACUGUUAAUCAUGAUGUCGUAGGUUCGAGACCUACUGGCGGAG
rnacentral:tRNA from 1 species